AUGAACGCUGGCGGCGUGCCUAAUACAUGCAAGUCGAGCGAACGGACGAGAAGCUUGCCUCUCUGAUGUUAGCGGCGGACGGGUGAGUAACACGUGGAUAACCUACCUAUAAGACUGGGAUAACUUCGGGAAACCGGAGCUAAUACCGGAUAAUAUUUUGAACCGCAUGGUUCAAAAGUGAAAGACGGUCUUGCUGUCACUUAUGGAUGGAUCCGCGCUGCAUUAGCUAGUUGGUAAGGUAACGGCUUACCAAGGCAACGAUGCAUAGCCGACCUGAGAGGGUGAUCGGCCACACUGGAACUGAGACACGGUCCAGACUCCUACGGGAGGCAGCAGUAGGGAAUCUUCCGCAAUGGGCGAAAGCCUGACGGAGCAACGCCGCGUGAGUGAUGAAGGUCUUCGGAUCGUAAAACUCUGUUAUUAGGGAAGAACAUAUGUGUAAGUAACUGUGCACAUCUUGACGGUACCUAAUCAGAAAGCCACGGCUAACUACGCG
rnacentral:rRNA from 1 species